rnacentral:tmRNA from 2 species
GGGGCUGAUUCUGGAUUCGACGGGAUUUGCGAAACCCAAGGUGCAUGCCGAGGGGCGGUUGGCCUCGUAAAAAGCCGCAAAAAAUAGUCGCAAACGACGAAAACUACGCUUUAGCAGCUUAAUAACCUGCUUAGAGCCCUCUCUCCCUAGCCUCCGCUCUUAGAACGGGGAUCAAGAGAGGUCAAACCCAAAAGAGAUCGCGUGGAAGCCCUGCCUGGGGUUGAAGCGUUAAAACUUAAUCAGGCUAGUUUGUUAGUGGCGUGUCCGUCCGCAGCUGGCAAGCGAAUGUAAAGACUGACUAAGCAUGUAGUACCGAGGAUGUAGGAAUUUCGGACGCGGGUUCAACUCCCGCCAGCUCCACCA